GGGGUGGGGGCUUGCUGUCUACUUGGCGAGCCUUCACUGCCCCCUUCUGUAACUUCCCUUCUUUCGUCCGUCCACGAGGCAGUCAAAAGAAAGAGAGAAAGGGGCGGCUAUAACGCAGGAGUCGUGGCGGUUGUAUGCCACAAGGUCCCUAUAGACAAGGGGACAAGUGAAUCAUCGCUUUUGGGCGCAGGCAGCCCUCUACCAUCCAUCCCAUUGCAUUCCUCUCAUAGAGUACUGUACCGUCUCAGACCAGAUACAUCUAUGGAAAGAAAGGAUUUCAUAGAAAAUAUUCAUUUUUCUCUUUUUU
rnacentral:misc_RNA from 1 species